rnacentral:rRNA from 1 species
GACGAACGCUGGCGGCGUGCCUAAUACAUGCAAGUCGAGCGAAGUUUUUCUGGUGCUUGCACUAGAAAAACUUAGCGGCGAACGGGUGAGUAACACGUAAAGAACCUGCCUCAUAGACUGGGACAACUAUUGGAAACGAUAGCUAAUACCGGAUAACAGCAUUAACUGCAUGGUUGAUGUUUAAAAGUUGGUUUUGCUAACACUAUGAGAUGGCUUUGCGGUGCAUUAGCUAGUUGGUGGGGUAAAGGCCUACCAAGGCGACGAUGCAUAGCCGACCUGAGAGGGUGAUCGGCCACACUGGGACUGAGACACGGCCCAGACUCCUACGGGAGGCAGCAGUAGGGAAUCUUCCGCAAUGGGCGAAAGCCUGACGGAGCAACGCCGCGUGAGUGAAGAAGGAUUUCGGUUCGUAAAGCUCUGUUGUUAGGGAAGAAUGAUUGUGUAGUAACUAUACACAGUAGAGACG